UUCUGGCUCAGGAUGAACGCCAGCUACAGGCUUAACACAUGCAAGUCGAGGGGAAACGACAUCGAAAGCUUGCUUUUGAUGGGCGUCGACCGGCGCACGGGUGAGUAACGCGUAUCCAACCUGCCCAUCACUUGGGGAUAACCUUGCGAAAGUAAGACUAAUACCCAAUGAUAUCUCUAGAAGACAUCUGAAAGAGAUUAAAGAUUUAUCGGUGAUGGAUGGGGAUGCGUCUGAUUAGCUUGUUGGCGGGGUAACGGCCCACCAAGGCUACGAUCAGUAGGGGUUCUGAGAGGAAGGUCCCCCACAUUGGAACUGAGACACGGUCCAAACUCCUACGGGAGGCAGCAGUGAGGAAUAUUGGUCAAGGGACGAGAGUCUGAACCAGCCAAGUAGCGUGCAGGAUGACGGCCCUAUGGGUUGUAAACUGCUUUUAUAAGGGAAUAAAGUGAGUCUCGUGAGACUUUUUGCAUGUACCUUAUGAAUAAGGACCGGCUAAUUCCGUGCCAGCAGCCGCGGUAAUACGGAAGGUCCGGGCGUUAUCCGGAUUUAUUGGGUUUAAAGGGAGCGUAGGCCGGAGAUUAAGCGUGUUGUGAAAUGUAGACGCUCAACGUCUGCACUGCAGCGCGAACUGGUUUCCUUGAGUACGCACAAAGUGGGCGGAAUUCGUGGUGUAGCGGUGAAAUGCUUAGAUAUCACGAAGAACUCCGAUUGCGAAGGCAGCUCACUGGAGCGCAACUGACGCUGAGGCUCGAAAGUGCGGGUAUCGAACAGGAUUAGAUACCCUGGUAGUCCGCACGGUAAACGAUGGAUGCCCGCUGUUGGUCUGAAUAGGUCAGCGGCCGAGCGAAAGCAUUAAGCAUCCCACCUGGGGAGUACGCCGGCAAGGGUGCAACUCAAAUGAAUUGACGG
rnacentral:rRNA from 1 species